AUCCAGUUGACGAGUCACAAAUAGGACGAAAUGCGCAUCCUGGAU
rfam:Trichobilharzia regenti genome assembly, scaffold: TRE_scaffold0030677